UUUUUUACAGUUGGAGUAAUGUGUCUAAAUUGUAAUACCAAAUAAUCUGCGAUGUUUUUGUACCGUCAAUUUUAUUAGAAUUUCAAGGUAGUUUUGUGCAGAUGAUGCCUGCCAUUUCUAAACUGUUACUUUCCUGCAAUGGCAGUGCGCCACUAAAUUGUAUUCGACUCAGACUGACAGUCGCGAUGUUCACAGAGCCUUUCAAUUUAAUUAUAAGUGAUAUUUAUAUUUUUUUUCCUUUCAGCCAGCUUGCUACAAGAAUAUCUUUUAGAAAUUGGAUGUUAAUGAAAAAUCAGGACGUCCGUGCUGGUUCAGUAGACUGUGGAGUAGACACGUUGAUGGUGUUUGAAUAUGAACUGAGAGCAGGCUGGCUGUGUGGCUGCAGUUGGGCAGCUGACUCGAGAACAAGGGGCUCAGAUUUAUGAGGCUGCAGAGAUCAGCAGGGCCUUCAGGAGGACUCAACAUGAAAAACUGUUGGAGUUCAUCAUAAAGGGUCAUGAAGCAGAUGAUCACUUGCUGGUAACUUAGUUCAGGUAACAAGUAAAACUUUGUUAUUGUAAUCCAUUUAGUAGCAAAGAGCUAUGAGGACUUAUUAGCACAAAACUCUUGUAUUUGCUUGUCCAACAGCUGCUAUGUCUGAAAAGAUGUCAUCGAAAUGGUUUAAAAAUGAAGUUCCUAAAGGUCACCAGGUAAUGACCUCUAUACAGUAGAAGAUGAGGAGCUGACAGAUGGCCUCUACAACUACCUGAUGAAGUGCUGUCAAGAGAUGUAGGCACUUUUGAAAAGAUCGACAGAGUUCACAUCAUUCUGGAUGUGCUGAUUUGGCUUUAGUGAGUCUCUAAUGAGUACAGAAAGUGUCUCUAUGAGUGACGUCCCCUCUGUUUCUGUGUUUGUCAUCGGCUCUUAUUAAAGCACUAGAGAAAGUCGAGAGGAUUUCUCUAUCAGAAGCAGAAGGUCUGUUCAUUGAUGGACCAGCAGACGGCGAGUGGAACGUCAUGUGGUGUUGGGAGCAGACGGUCCUUUCUUUUUAUUUUCAGCACCAUAAUUCUGUUAAUCAGAAUAACAUUUUACUUGUAGUGAAUUUAGACAAGAAUAUAAACUAAAUACAUAUACAUGUAAAUAUACAGUAUGUUUAAA